rnacentral:rRNA from 1 species
AUUGAACGCUGGCGGCAUGCCUUACACAUGCAAGUCGAACGGCAGCACGGGGCAACCUGGUGGCGAGUGGCGAACGGGUGAGUAAUGCAUCGGAACGUACCUUUCAGUGGGGGAUAACGUAGCGAAAGUUACGCUAAUACCGCAUAUUCUGUGAGCAGGAAAGCAGGGGAUCGCAAGACCUUGCGCUGAUUGAGCGGCCGAUGUCGGAUUAGCUAGUUGGUGAGGUAAAGGCUCACCAAGGCGACGAUCUGUAGCGGGUCUGAGAGGAUGCUCCGCUACACUGGAACUGGGACACGGUCCAGACUCCUACGGGAGGCAGCAGUGGGGAAUUUUGGACAAUGGGGGCAACCCUGAUCCAGCCAUGCCGCGUGAGUGAAGAAGGCCUUCGGGUUGUAAAGCUCUUUCGGCCGGGAAGAAAUCGUAUGGGCUAAUACCCUGUGCGGAUGACGGUACCGGCAUAAGAAGCACCGGCUAACUACGUGCCAGCAGCCGCCGUAACAC